rnacentral:misc_RNA from 1 species
GAAAAAGAAGAAGACAGAAUACUUAGGUAAAAUUAACAGUUUGAAGGCCUAAACAAAGCCUCUGCCAGGAGAUACAAGACUUUAUUUGUUUCCACAGCCACAAACAGUCAUCAAAAUCCAGCAGCCUUCAUGAAAAUAGAAAUGCACACUAGUUCUUGAUAUUGGAUCAUAAUUGGCUCAACUUGCCGGAUGUUAGUGAUACACUCGUGUUUUCAGACUAAACCUAGCAUAAAAACUAGCAGAAUCAAUACACAAACCACUGCUGCUCAUACAAUCUAGUCUCCAAAAACCAGUCUUUAUGCCUGGCACAGGUGCAAAUGGCAUGCUCUUGACCAGCAAGUGCUACCAUCAGCUGGUGCUGAAGUUUUAUAUUAUGUUUAUUAGGACAAAGCUUCAAGAAUAAGGCCACUAUCAUUUCUUGCAGCUUAUUAGAAAAGCCAUGCAUUUUAAACUUUUCAAGCCGUUUUGAUAGAGAAUUCCCACAAAUCACUGGCUAUCAGGCUCCCCUGAACAUUUCUUGCUCCAACCACCUGAACCAGCUUUCCUCUCUCCUCGCUUUCUCUUGUUCUUUGGAAAUUGGAAAUCUGAGGCUAAACAUGAUUUCAGAGUUGAUUGCCCCUGUGACACAAUGGUUUUUGCCAUUGGAUCUGGUUCUGUGGUAGAAAUUGAACAAGGAUUGGUGCUUUCUCCUUCUUCCCCUUUAUCUGGUUCGUGAUGCUUCUCUAGGAGUUGAUUAUUCGUCCCUAUGAAAGGGUGUGUCUCUCCCUCAGCUGCUUCAGUAUGUAUCAGCACAUUAUCCACUAUCUGCAAAUUCAACAAAGUACAUAUAGACUAAAGUGAUUAAUACAUUUUGUACUCGUGUAAGUAAUGAAUUCUUUAUUGUUUUCAACAUCUCAAGAUAAUCAAAAUCACAAGAAGCAUUCUAUCCAUCAAACAACUUAUUCCCAGUGCAUAAAGUUUUCAGUUUUGCAGGCUCUUGAGGAUCAGAUAUAUGCAGCCUUCACCAUGCAUUGCAAAGAGACAGGUUCCAUGAAACAUAAGAUUUAAAUCCAAAUGAUCCAACAUCUUAGAAGAGGAGCAAAUCUGGCUGAUAAAGGUUUUAAAAAGAAUCUUAAGGGUUUAAGUAUCACAAAAAAUUCUAGAAGAGUGAAAAUCAUUGAAGCAAGGAUUGCAAAGGAGCUAAUAUGGCACAAAAAGAAGAUGUGAAAUUAAAUUUAGAUAGAAUUUGAAAGAAUUAUUAGAAACUGAAAAUUUUAUAGACAUGCAUAAAUUAUGGAACAAGCAACGAAAAUCUCUGACAUUAAAUUACUUGGAGCAGUUGAAAAAGUCAUGAUGCAGCCUGCAAUUACAUAUAUGUUAUCAGAUUGGUACUUCCUAUCUUCCUACAUAAGCUCAAUGAAGGAUGAACUAUUUUCCUGUCAUUUGAGUAAAAAAUAGUUAACCUAUCUCUAAAACAAAUUUGCAUUUUAAGGAAAGGUGCAUCAAUUUUAGAAUAACAUAUACAAGCACAUGAUAUUUUCUUGGUAUAUAUGUUGUUUUAAAAAAAAUAAUUAAGGCUAUAUAAGCUCAAUGAAUUUUCCCAUUUUCAAUUUUAAAACCACAUUUAAUCAAAUCAAUCAGUAAUUAGAUAGUAGCAUUUAUAAAUUACAGAAUUUAUAUAGACAAAAGUAAUUAUAUGUUCUUACAUCUUCACAUGAAUCUCCAAUUUGUGGCUGGUGGAAGGUAACAUCUGCAGCAGCCAACAUUCCUACUGUGCUCUCAAUUAUAUCAGGUACAUGAAUAGCCUCUCCAUAACUUGAUAUUGCACUAUCAGGCAUAACCAAAUCUCCAAUAUCAUAACCUGAGAUAUGCUGAUUUGCAUUAUGCAUAGCUCCUACCGACAUUGUUUCUCCAUUGCCAGCAGAGAAUGUAGGACUACGAGCAGAACUAGUCUGCACAUCACAAGGUGCAAGAAGGCUUAAAUUCUCAGAGGAAGAAAACUUAGCGGCAUUUUUUGACAUCACCACAUCAAGUUGAUUCCUCAACUUGUGAAUCUGUGAUUGCAUUAUUUCAAUUUUCCAAAGGACUUGCUCCAAAAAAUUAUUAUCAUCUUCAAGCUCAAAAGAUAAUUGUUCAUUUUCAUUGCCAAAUUUGUAGUUGCAAUCAGCGUGACAUUCUGUUAUUGCUGCAUUGUCAAAAUCAUCUACCAUUGAACUUCCAUCAGGAUUAGAUCUCUUCUUAUCCAGAUAAGAAAAAAGGCUAUGAUGUAACAUAUAUGAUGUUGUAUCAGCUGUAUCUUCUAUUCUCUUUCGUUUCCUCCUCUUUAUGGCCCUUCUUCUAUAACAUUGAUUUGAAAAUGGUAAUGACUUCGAACAAGAAUCUUCACGUGUAGAUUGAUAGAUUUGUGAAUGUUUUCUCUGUUCAUUUGCUGUAAGUUCUUUGGCAUAUUUCAAUGCUUGAGACUCAAUUUCCUUAAUUUUCAGUUCUGUCCAUUUGCAACGCCACAUCAGAGGACGUAUAAAGCUCCUCCAAUGAUUUGUUAACUUCUUCUUCCUUGUUUGAAAAAUGCUACUGAAUGCAUCAUAUGGGGAUGCCAAAUCACUGUCAUCAAAAAAUUGUGAUUCUACUUCAGUUUCACUUAGUCCAGAACACUUCUCGGUAUCAUCAGGAGUGUCGGCAAAUGAGCUUGAAUAUUCAGUUGCAUCUGGAUCUUCAGGUUCUGCUGAUUUGGUCUCAUUAAUAUUUUUAUAUGUAGUUAUGUCAACUUCUACAUCCUCAGGGUUCAUUGGCUUGGUUUGUUCAUCCAACAGAGUGCUUCUCUCAUCAACUAUUUCCCCACUGUUAUUUAUGCACCUUGAACUCAUCCCAUCUGAUUUUGCCAAGCUAGUUUUGUCAUCUAUACCAACUUCAACUUUUCUAGUAUGAUAUUUAUUGUCUGGAUCAAUAUCCAUUAGUGGCUGUCCAGAAGCCAUAGAACAAUCUGAGCCAGAACUAAUGGAUCAAUUUCCAUCAAAUGCUUCAAAUUAUUAACAAGCAAAGCUGAAAAGGCAAGUUCUUUAUAGUUAACCAGUGAGAAAGGGAGUGAAAGAGUAGUGUGGACGUUGGCUGUGCGGCGAGGAGGAAG